AUUGAACGCUGGCGGCAUGCCUUACACAUGCAAGUCGAACGGCAGCGCGGGAGCAAUCCUGGCGGCGAGUGGCGAACGGGUGAGUAAUACAUCGGAACGUGCCCAAUCGUGGGGGAUAACGCAGCGAAAGCUGUGCUAAUACCGCAUACGAUCUACGGAUGAAAGCCGGGGAUCGCAAGACCUUGCGCGAAUGGAGCGGCCGAUGGCAGAUUAGGUAGUUGGUGAGGUAAAGGCUCACCAAGCCUUCGAUCUGUAGCUGGUCUGAGAGGACGACCAGCCACACUGGGAAUGAGACACGGCCCAGACUCCUACGGGAGGCAGCAGUGGGGAAUUUUGGACAAUGGGCGAAAGCCUGAUCCAGCCAUGCCGCGUGCAGGAUGAAGGCCUUCGGGUUGUAAACUGCUUUUGUACGGAACGAAACGGUCUUUUCUAAUAAAGAAGGCUAAUGACGGUACCGUAAGAAUAAGCACCGGCUAACUACGU
rnacentral:rRNA from 1 species